rnacentral:rRNA from 1 species
AGUGAACGCUGGCGGUAGGCCUAACACAUGCAAGUCGAACGGCAGCACAGUAAGAGCUUGCUCUUACGGGUGGCGAGUGGCGGACGGGUGAGGAAUACAUCGGAAUCUACUUUUUCGUGGGGGAUAACGUAGGGAAACUUACGCUAAUACCGCAUACGACCUACGGGUGAAAGCAGGGGAUCUUCGGACCUUUCGCGAUUGAAUGAGCCGAUGUCGGAUUAGCUAGUUGGCGGGGUAAAGGCCCACCAAGGCGACGAUCCGUAGCUGGUCUGAGAGGAUGAUCCGCCACACUGGAACUGAGACACGGUCCAGACUCCUACGGGAGGCAGCAGUGGGGAAUAUUGGACAAUGGGCGCAAGCCUGAUCCAGCCAUACCGCGUGGGUGAAGAAGGCCUUCGGGUUGUAAAGCCCUUUUGUUGGGAAAGAAAAGCAGCAGGUUAAUACCCCGCUGUUCUGACGGUACCCAAAGAAUAAGCACCGGCUAACUUCGUG